GCAUUGGCCGUAUUUUUAACGAAAACUUCCGUAUUCAAACAAACCGAAUUUUCAAGUGAAGCGAUCGACUUGGGAAUACGUAUUCGAAUAUAUCCAUUACGCAUUAGAGUCUGUGGUUUAUUUAAUUUAGAUAACAGUCUUGCAUACUCGGUGUUUGGUAUUAUAUUGACAUAUGUGGUCCUAGCUUUGUCUAUUCAUUGAACUUGGAUGAUAAGCUAAACGAACAAAUACGAGAAAUAAAUAAAUAAA